UUCCCAGACUCCUACGGGAGGCAGCAGUGAGGCCUCUUGGUCAAUGGGCGCGAGCUUGCCCCCGCCAAGUAGCGUGCCGGAUGACUGCCCUCCGGGUUGUCCCCUUCUUUUAUACAGGCAUAAAGUGAGGCACGUGUGCCUUUUUGUAUGUAUUUUAUGAAUAAGGAUCGGCUAACUCCGUGCCAGCAGCCGCGGUAAUACGGAGGAUCCGAGCGUUAUCCGGAUUUAUUGGGUUUAAAGGGAGCGUAGAUGGGUUGUGAAGUCAGUUGUGAAAGUUUGCGGCUCAACCUUAAAAUUGCAGUUGAAACUGGCAGUCUUGAGUACAGUAGAGGUGGGCGGAAUUCGUGGUGUAGCGGUGAAAUGCUUAGAUAUCACGAAGAACUCCGAUUGCGAAGGCAGCUCACUGGACUGCAACUGACACUGAGGCUCGAAAGUGUGGGUAUCAAACAGGAUUAGAUACCCUAGUA
rnacentral:rRNA from 1 species